rnacentral:rRNA from 1 species
UGCGUAGGUGGCGGGGUAAGUUUGAUGUGAAAGCUCCGAGCUUAACUCGGAAAUUGCAUUGAAUACUAUCUUGCUAGAGGGUUGAAGGGGGGACUGGAAUUCUCGGUGUAGCAGUGAAAUGCGUAGAUAUCGAGAGGAACACCAGUGGCGAAGGCGAGUCCCUGGACAACUCCUGACACUGAGGCACGAAAGCUGGGAGCAAACA